AGAAUCCUAGAAACUGAUUGUCCAAACGCAAUUCUUGUGCAAUUUUGAAGUAAAACCCAAGAAUUGUGGCUGGACAUCUGUUGCUGGAGGUUC
rnacentral:pre_miRNA from 1 species